rnacentral:lncRNA from 1 species
CAAAACAUCAAUAUAAUAAUAAUAAUAAUAAUAAUAAUUUUCAUUAAUACGUAGAAUUUUGAGAACAACACAUGCAUGCUUUCAAAAUCUACUAGAACUUAUUAACGAGGUGUUACGGGUAGAUGUAGAGUCAGGGAGCUUUGAUACAAAUCCUGACCUAUAAGAGAUGUCGGAUCAACGAAUCCAACCUGAAUCACAACGUAUUGCUGAUCCAUCAAAACCAAAUGAUAAUAUUUUCUUAAACAGUAGUGGGAAUGAUACAGAUAUGUCAAGUAUGGUUGAGCUGUUGGAAAUUAGGGACAUGAGGUCCAAAUUACAUACAGACAAACAA